CAGUCGAACGAAGCACUUUAUUUGAUUUCCUUCGGGACUGAUUAUUUUGUGACUGUGUGGCGGACGGGUGAGUAACGCGUGGGUAACCUGCCUUGUACAGGGGAUAACAGUUGGAAACGGCUGCUAAUACCGCAUAAGCGCACGGCAUCGCAUGAUGCAGUGUGAAAAACUCCGGUGGUAUAAGAUGGACCCGCGUUGGAUUAGCUAGUUGGUGAGGUAACGGCCCACCAAGGCGACGAUCCAUAGCCGACCUGAGAGGGUGACCGGCCACAUUGGGACUGAGACACGGCCCAAACUCCUACGGGAGGCAGCAGUGGGGAAUAUUGCACAAUGGGCGAAAGCCUGAUGCAGCGACGCCGCGUGAGCGAAGAAGUAUUUCGGUAUGUAAAGCUCUAUCAGCAGGGAAGAUAAUGACGGUACCUGACUAAGAAGCACCGGCUAAAUACGUGCCAGCAGCCGCGGUAAUACGUAUGGUGCAAGCGUUAUCCGGAUUUACUGGGUGUAAAGGGAGCGCAGGCGGUGCGGCAAGUCUGAUGUGAAAGCCCGGGGCUCAACCCCGGUACUGCAUUGGAAACUGUCGUACUAGAGUGUCGGAGGGGUAAGCGGAAUUCCUAGUGUAGCGGUGAAAUGCGUAGAUAUUAGGAGGAACACCAGUGGCGAAGGCGGCUUACUGAACGAUAACUGACGCUGAGGCUCGAAAGCGUGGGGAGCAAACAGGAUUAGAUACCCUGGUAGUCCACGCCGUANACGAUGAAUACUAGGUGUUGGGAANCA
rnacentral:rRNA from 1 species